UAAGCAAGCACUUAUGGCUGACAAGGCAGU
rnacentral:piRNA from 1 species